rnacentral:rRNA from 1 species
UACGGAGGAUGCAAGCGUUAUCCGGAAUGAUUGGGCGUAAAGCGUCCGCAGGUGGCUGUGUAAGUCUGCUGUCAAAGAGCGAAGCUCAACUUCGUAAAGGCAGUGGAAACUACACGGCUAGAGUGCGUUCGGGGCAGAGGGAAUUCCUGGUGUAGCAGUGAAAUGCGUAGAGAUCAGGAAGAACACCGGUGGCGAAGGCGCUCUGCUAGGCCGCAACUGACACUGAGGGACGAAAGCUAGGGGAGCAAACAGG